rnacentral:rRNA from 1 species
GACGAACGCUGGCGGCGUGCCUAACACAUGCAAGUCGAGCGGGGUUGAAGCGAGAGGUAACUCGAACUUCUACCUAGCGGCGGACGGGUGAGUAACGCGUGGGCAACCUGCCUCAAGGUCUGGGAUAACAGCCCGAAAGGGCUGCUAAUACCGGGUAUGCUUGUGGCCUCGCAUGGGGCUAUGAGCAAAGGGGAAACCCGCCUUGAGAUGGGCCCGCGUCCCAUCAGCUAGUUGGUGAGGUAACAGCUCACCAAGGCGACGACGGGUAGCCGGCCUGAGAGGGUGACCGGCCACACUGGGACUGAGACACGGCCCAGACUCCUACGGGGGGCAGCAGUGGGGGAUCUUGCACAAUGGGCGAAAGCCUGAUGCAGCGACGCCGCGUGAGCGAAGAAGGCCUUCGGGUUGUAAGCUCUGUCUGGAGGGACGAAGGAAGUGACGGUACCUCCGGAGGAAGCCACGGCUAACUACGUGCCAGCAGCCGCGGUAAUUCGUCUCUA